ensembl:lncRNA
CAGAGGGAGACCUCUCCAGGAGCCAUGGGUGGAAUAGACCCCAUUUGCAGUUCAGUUACAUAACAUUUGGAGCAUUCUAGGAUCUGUCUCACAACUCUCUAAAGUUUCCCCAACGGUGAUGCUAAAUUGAGGUCAGUCAUUAUGUUGUCCAGUGUGAAAUCCUGAAGAGUUGCAAGCAAAGAGACUCCAUAAUCUCCCCAGGAUACUCGAGGCAGUAAUGCAUUGCCCUAAAGCCUCCUUCCUUGAAGAGAAGUAAGUCAUUUCAGGAACAGCUCAGCAGAACAGCUUCUGCACUUCUAAUCCAUAAGUCACUGCAGGAAGGACACACUGAUUGGAAACCUCUCACUCCAGACAGAAUGGUCUGCACUGUUCACCUGCAUGGAUAAUGAUUUUCCAGUACCCAGGACUUGAAACUGCCAACUUAUGCUUGUCUACAAGACUACUCUGCUAAAGUACUG